ensembl:miRNA gmo-mir-11185 gmo-mir-11185
AGAGGGCAAUAAUAUCACAUCUGUGAAAAGCUGAUGUGUGAUCUUUGUGUCCUCAGG